CUUAUGCCGGCGACCGGCGGACGGGUGCGUAACGCGUAUGUAACCUACCUUUGACAGGGGGAUAACAUCGAGAAAUUGGUACUAAUACCCCAUAACAUCACCGGAGGCAUCUUCGGUGGUUGAAAACUCAGGUGGUCAGAGAUGGACAUGCGUUGUAUUAGCUAGUUGGUGAGGUAACGGCUCACCAAGGCGACGAUACAUAGGGGGACUGAGAGGUCAACCCCCCACAUUGGUACUGAGACACGGCCCAAACUCCUACGGAAGGCAGCAG
rnacentral:rRNA from 1 species